UCACCCUUCAAGCUCUGCGCUUGGUGUUGGACGGCUUGGUCGCAUAUCUCGUUCGACCCCUCCUAAAGACAAUGACGGCGGCCUGCGGUUCCCCCGGUACACUGAGCUUUUUAACUUGAGCACGUAUCGGACAAGGGCGCCCGGGUCCCGGUCCUCUCCCGUAACGGGAAACACUUAACUAA
rnacentral:misc_RNA from 1 species